GCGGACGUGGUGCACGGCGCACCGCUGCGUACAAUUAGCACGCCGUAAAGAUGAGAUUUAAAGCAGUUGAACGGGGUUCGACUCCCCGCGUCCGCC